rnacentral:rRNA from 1 species
UGGGGAAUAUUGCACAAUGGGCGAAAGCCUGAUGCAGCAACGCCGCGUGCGGGAUGACGGCCUUCGGGUUGUAAACCGCUUUCAGCAGGGACGAAGGUUUUCUGACGGUACCUGCAGAAGAAGCACCGGCUAACUACGUGCCAGCAGCCGCGGUGAUACGUAGGGUGCGAGCGUUGUCCGGAAUUAUUGGGCGUAAAGAGCUUGUAGGCGGUCCGUUGCGUCGGAAGUGAAAACUCAGGGCUUAACCCUGAGCCUGCUUUCGAUACGGGCGGACUUGAGGGAUGUAGGGGAGAACGGAAUUCCUGGUGGAGCGGUGGAAUGCGCAGAUAUCAGGAGGAACACCAGUGGCGAAGGCGGUUCUCUGGACAUUUCCUGACGCUGAGAAGCGAAAGCGUGGGGAGCAAACAGGCUUAGAUACCCUGGUAGUCCACGCCGUAAACGGUGGGCACUAGGUGUGGGACCCAUUCCACGGGUUCCGUGCCGUAGCUAACGCAUUAAGUGCCCCGCCUGGGGAGUACGGCCGCAAGGCUAAAACUUAAAUGAAUUGACGGGGUCAU